rfam:Ricinus communis cultivar Hale ctg_1100012314789, whole genome shotgun sequence.
UAUCUAUGGUGUGGGCAUUGCAAUAGAAGUGAUUUAAAGUGAUCUCAUACUUCAUGAAAGGACUUAGUAUUCUUUUGAUAAAAAAUAGAAAUUCAGCUCUUAAUUCU